rnacentral:rRNA from 1 species
UACAGAGGGGGCAAGCGUUAAUCGGAAUUACUGGGCGUAAAGCGUGCGUAGACGGUUGCGUAAGUCAGAUGUGAAAGCCCCGGGCUCAACCUGGGAAUUGCAUUUGAGACUGCGUAGCUAGGGUGCGGAAGAGGGAAGCGGAAUUUCCGGUGUAGCGGUGAAAUGCGUAGAUAUCGGAAGGAACACCAGUGGCGAAAGCGGCUUCCUGGUCCAGCACCGACGUUCAGGCACGAAAGCGUGGGGAGCAAACAGG